GGAGUUAGCCGGUGCUUCUUCUGUGAGUGAUGUCCUUCCUGCCGGUUAUUGACCCGCAGGCCUUCUUCCUCACUGAAAGUGCUUUACAACCCGAAGGCCUUCUUCACACACGCGGCAUGGCUGGAUCAGGGUUGCCCCCAUUGUCCAAUAUUCCCCACUGCUGCCUCCCGUAGGAGUCUGGGCCGUGUCUCAGUCCCAGUGUGGCUGAUCAUCCUCUCAGACCAGCUACGGAUCGUCGCCUUGGUGAGCCGUUACCUCACCAACCAGCUAAUCCGACAUAGGCUCAUCCGAUAGCGCGAGGCCCGAAGGUCCCCCGCUUUCCCCCGUAGGGCCGUAUGCGGUAUUAGCCUGGGUUUCCCCCAGGUUAUCCCCCACUACCGGGCAGAUUCCUAUGCAUUACUCACCCGUCCGCCGCUCGCCACCAGGGAGCAAGCUCCCCGUGCUGCCGCUCGACUUGCAUGUGUUAGGCCUGCCGCCAGCGUUCAAUCUGAGCCAUGAUCAAACUCUGA
rnacentral:rRNA from 1 species